rnacentral:rRNA from 1 species
UACGGAGGGUGCGAGCGUUGUCCGGAAUCAUUGGGCGUAAAGGGCGCGUAGGUGGCCCGGUCAGUCUUUGGUGAAAGCGCGGGGCUCAACCCUGCGUCGGCCAUGAAUACUGCCGCGGCUGGAGCACUGUAGAGGCAGGCGGAAUUCCGGGUGUAGCGGUGGAAUGCGUAGAGAUCCGGAAGAACACCGGUGGCGAAGGCGGCCUGCUGGGCAGUUGCUGACACUGAGGCGCGACAGCGUGGGGAGCAAACAGG